rnacentral:lncRNA from 1 species
UUUUUAGGACGCUUAUUAAUUAGUGUCCUAUUUUAUUCUAAAAAAUAAUUAGUGUCCUAUUUUUACAAAUCUGAAAGUUAUUGUUCUAAUUUUCAAAUCAAUCUAAGUUAAUGUUCUAAAAUAUCCCCUGACUCGCCCAUCAUAAUAUCAAACCACUCACUCUCGUAUUUUACUAUAUAUUAUCAAUGCAUUAUUAGAUAACGUGGGGCUAGAGACGAUAGACGCAGAAAAAUUUACUACUAGUUAGGUUUGUGUCAAGAUUUUGGAAAAGCAAUUUUCUUACUAUACAACUUGAUUAUCAGAACGUAGCAUAGCUAAAUUGAUAAGACGCUCUUCCUCCAAUAAUUAAGUUAAUUUGGGGUUCAAAUCAUCAUUGAAAAAAUUGGGAACCAUUUUUUAUUUUCUUUUUAUAGAAAAAAAAU